GUGACUGGGCAGUGGAUAACUCGGCUCAUGUGUCUACAAAGAACGCAGCUAGCUAUAAGAGUUAUUGCGAAUGGCGGGACACAUUGAUCACUGACAGUUUGAACGUACUUGUGGCUCAGAUUCAUCUCGGGGUUAUGCCUGUAGGAGCACUG
rnacentral:rRNA from 1 species